AUCGCUUCUCGGCCUUUUGGCUAAGAUCAAGUGUAGAGUCUGUUCUUAUCAGCUUAAUAUCUGAUAUGGACCUAAUUGGUUCAAGAUAUUAAACUUAUUUUUGUAAGUGGCGUCCCUACGAAGCUUGCUUCGAGGGCGCUAGGGUCGACCCGGUAUUGCACUACCUCCGGGAGUGGCCCGUCCCCC
rnacentral:snRNA from 1 species